AUCUGUCUCUCUGUCUACACUCUGUCUGUCUCUCUGUCUACACUCUGUCUGUCUCUCUGUCUUCACUCUGUCU